rnacentral:rRNA from 1 species
UGGGGAAUAUUGCACAAUGGGCGCAAGCCUGAUGCAGCGACGCCGCGUGGGGGAUGAAGGCCUUCGGGUUGUAAACUCCUUUCGCUAGGGAAGAAGCCUUUUUGGUGACGGUACCUGGAUAAGAAGCACCGGCUAACUACGUGCCAGCAGCCGCGGUAAUACGUAGGGUGCGAGCGUUGUCCGGAAUUACUGGGCGUAAAGAGCUCGUAGGUGGUUUGUCGCGUCGUCUGUGAAAUCCCGGGGCUUAACUUCGGGCGUGCAGGCGAUACGGGCAUAACUAGAGUGCUGUAGGGGAGACUGGAAUUCCUGGUGUAGCGGUGAAAUGCGCAGAUAUCAGGAGGAACACCGAUGGCGAAGGCAGGUCUCUGGGCAGUUACUGACGCUGAGGAGCGAAAGCAUGGGUAGCGAACA